rnacentral:misc_RNA from 1 species
UCCGGUUUAUCACCGGCAGUCUCCUAUGAGUCCCCGGCAUAACCCGCUGGCAACAUAGAACGAGGGUUGCGCUCGUUGCGGGACUUAACCCAACAUCUCACGACACGAGCUGACGACAACCAUGCACCACCUGUACAGGACCCUUACGGACCCCCCAUCUCUGGAGGAUUUCCCUGUAUGUCAAGCCUUGGUAAGGUUCUUCGCGUUGCGUCGAAUUAAGCCGCAUGCUCCGCCGCUUGUGCGGGCCCCCGCCAAUUCCUUUGAGUUUUAGCCUUGCGGCCGUACUCCCCAGGCGGGGCACUUAAUGCGUUAGCUACGGCACCGCAGGGGUCGAUACCCGCGACACCUAGUGCCCAUCGUUUACGGCGUGGACUAC